UGUUCAUCAGGAACAUCGGUCUCCGCCAUAGACCACCCCUAGGCCCACUGUCAAAACCCAUAAUUCGGUUGAGUUUCAACCGGGAAACUCAAUCGGAGCCCCUCUAAACCCAGAAAUCGGCCAGAACAACUUCAAUCCAUAAACACAAACCCUAAACCAAAUUCUUCCCUAAACCUUAAUCUGAGAACGAAUUCAAUCACAAACCAUAAACCAAAUUCUUCCCUAAACCUUAAUCCGAGAACGAAUUCAACCACAAACCCUUCAAAAUAAAGGAUUGAAACCCUUAGGGUUCUAAACCCUAACCCUCUCUCUAUCAAAUCUGAAGGUACAUCACACAAACUCACCUAAAAAACGAAAUCAAACAUGAAGAAACACAUCUUAAGCAAAAUCCAGCUACACAUCAAAGAAAUCAAACACUACAACAACUACAACAAUGUCCAGUUCACAUGUACAUGAGGCAGCCAUAAUACUCAACAACUUAAAAAGGCUAGCAAAUAGAGUUUAGCUGCAAGAAAUAUAUCGUCCAGACGUUACUAGAGAAAACAGUUCACAGGUUGUUUGAUCAAGUAUGCACAUGAAAAUGAGGUGAUGGUCACGAGGAAGAGCGUGGUGUCUUAAUGCCAAGCUUGUUUCAUCUGUUUUUUGCUUCUUCUUUUUUGUGAUGUUGUGACUUAAUGCUUAUAUUACUUAUCUCUUAUGUAAAAAGAACCAAGUUUAUGACACUAUGUAAAGUAUAAAUAAAAUGCAAUAUAAAAGGAAAUUCAUAACU